GAUCAUUAAAGAAAUUUAAUAAUUUUGAAAAUGGAUUUUUUUGUUUUGGCAAGAGCAUGAGAGCUUUUACUGGGCAAGAAGACAGGAGAUGGAGAGUCCAGCCGGGCCUGCGCUUAAGUGCGCGGUCUUGCUAGGCUUGUAAGUUUCUUUCUUGCUAUUCCAAACGGUGAGAGAUUUCUGUGCUUUUGUUAUAGGACAAUUAAAACCGUUUCAAUACAACACACUGUGGAGUUUUCAUAUCUUUGCAACUUUUUCUUUGGGCAUUCGAGCAAUCGGGGCCCAGAGGUAACAAACACAAACAAUUUUAUCUAUUCAUUAAAUUUUUGUCAAAAACAAGAAUUUUCGUAACUGGAAAUUUUAAAAUAUUAAAAACUUUCAACAACGGAUCUCUUGGUUCUCGCAUCGAUGAAGAACGCAGCGAAAUGCGAUACGUAAUGUGAAUUGCAGAAUUCCGUGAAUCAUCGAAUCUUUGAACGCACAUUGCGCCCCUUGGUAUUCCAGGGGGCAUGCCUGUUUGAGCGUCAUUUCCUUCUCAAACAUUCUGUUUGGUAGUGAGUGAUACUCUUUGGAGUUAACUUGAAAUUGCUGGCCUUUUCAUUGGAUGUUUUUUUUCCAAAGAGAGGUUUCUCUGCGUGCUUGAGGUAUAAUGCAAGUACGGUCGUUUUAGGUUUUACCAACUGCGG
rnacentral:misc_RNA from 1 species